AGCAAAAUUGGCUUCGAAAUUUGGUUUGCUUGUGACAAAUGUCGAAUCGGGGCCUCCCCCCAUUCUCACCACUUGUCCCCUCUCACAAUGCCCCGACUUCUGCAACUGACUGGCAUAUCUCGCCAUUUUCAAGCUUCAUGACCUCAUGGGGAAUUCCUUUUUUCCAGUGAUUGAAAUGGCAUUCAAUGCGGUUCGUGUUCCAGAUUCAUUGGCAGCAGACGCAAGAGCACUAUCAGAGUGAGUCAUAGAGGUCACAAAUCAUGUGGAGCAACAAACGCAGAGAGAGCGAGACUGACAGGCGGAAGCGGACACGAGUGGAGGGGAGAGAGAAUCCUAAUGAUGACAAUGUUAAGAGACAAGCAGGGCUUUGGAUGGUAUUCUUUUUGGGCGCCGCUGCAGUUGGGAAUAUGUUUGCUCUUAAAAGGCGCCUAUUGAACAUUGAACGGCACUCUGCUCGGAAUUGUCACAGUUCACAAUCUCAUGGAGAACAUAACACUUCUGGCCGAUACAAUAGAGCGUACCAGAGCGCCAGCGGGAGUCAAACGAACUACGAGGACAGGACUGCUCAAGAAGCUCAAAGGCGAUGGCGAGCUCAUUUAGAUGAGCAACAGCGUGUGAAAAGAGUAAAUGUAGCACCUGGAAGAACACUUUGUUGCAGCGAUCGUUUGGUUUCCAAAUUGGAAGAACGCAUUCGCCGAAUGAAAGAAGCUUUCGCUCGAGAGAAAGUCUCCCAAGCGAAUUCCUACAAUCCUUGGAGUGAGCGUCGUGGUGACAAAUGGGACUGGAAAUUUGAGGGUAAUCGAUGGGAAUGGAAAGGUGACGAGCAGAGGGAAAAAGCACAACAAGAACAGGAUUGGCAACGAAAUCAAGAGAAAAAGAACAUGAAUAGCUACGAGCUUCUUAAGCGUGCAAGGCUCGCGUAUCACUUCACCGUGCUGGGGCUUGAUGCUACUCGACCUCAACCAUACUCUGAUGCUGAUAUCAAGGCAGCCUUUCGGUCGAAAGCCUUUGAGUAUCAUCCGGAUCAAAACCCAGUGUAACGUUGUUGAUGACUAGUCAACUCUGCAACGCUUACUUUCUCUGCCUUGGAUAUCUUUAAUUUGAUAUGCCAUGCUUCGAACAUCCAAAGCUCUGCUGGGUGUGACGGAAGCUAAGACUAGGACAUGCUGGUCUGCUAAAGACAUUCUGGGGAAUGCUGGUGUUACAACACGUUUGUUUUACUCGAAUUGCUGAUCAGGAGUCUGAGUUAACUCUAAAAAAUUUCUCAUUCUUUUAUGCUAUAUGAUACCAUAAGAAUAUCACGAUCCUUUAUGUAACAGAAUACUUCCCUCUUAGAACUUCAAACUGAAUAUGACAAGUGAAUGUACCAUUGAAUUCCCAAAGCUGCACAUUCUCAUCUGCUCAAGCUCAACAGAAUGUACGUGCAGUGAAUGCUGUAAAUAUUAGGAGGUCAAAAGAGGAGAAUGGAUUGAAGAAUUACCUGAGAAAAAGUAUUGCUACUGCCAUCACAACUUGCCCUCCAGUACACCCUUAGUAUACUACUCAACCGAAUGUAGUAGUCAUCAAAACGUUUUAUCAUAAUUUCAUAAAACUUGCAAGACCAUCUUUUGUACUUAGGUAAUCAAAGUGCCAGUGUUAGCAAUGUCAAGCUCAAUGAGAAAGAAAAAUAGUUCAAAAAGUUGUUUGGACAAUGAUAGACAUGUUGUUGGUAAUAGCAAAAACUAUUAUUACAUUAGCAAUAUCAUAAAACGAUAAUACAAUCAAACUAAGCCUUAUAAGUGUUAACAUGAGUAAAGUUUCAAGAAAAUGUAACUUCUUUAUGAGGAGGACUUAGUAUUUAGAGCCAUAGUGGAAUAGAUAUCCAAUUAGAACCUAAGAUGAACUAAAAAGCAAAAUGGCUACUUGUAUAAGAAUAUUUUUAUAAACUUCAAUCCUUCAACUUUGUCAAA